AUAAAAAAUAUCACUCCGAUUUAACCAAUUUGCUCAACGGCUUUACAAAAUUCAAUAAAUAAUAAUAAAAUUUAAAUAAAUGAGUGUUGUUUAAAUAUCUAGAUUAAAUAAGUGGUCAUACAUCUUAUUUUUAAAAAUCUUCAAGCUCGCAGAAUCAACAAUAUCAGCAGGCCAUUGCUCCCACAAGCGAAUUACAGUAAUGACAAACAAAUUUUCAUACUGUGUCGUUGUAAAAUUUGGUAACUAAAAGUUGAUAUUGUUUCUCUUGGCUGCCAAUCUUUCUGAGCGUCUAACAGAGUCAUCUUCGAUGAAUAAUUCACGUAAAUACAUUGGUUUUUCGAUAACUAACAAUUUGUAAAAAUAGCAAGCAGCAAAGUAGAUACGACGACUUUUAAUAGAAAGCCAGCCAAGUUCCCGCCUGUAAGGAGUUAUAUGCUCACCUCGUUUUAAGCUAUAGAUAAAGCGCACAGUUGAGUUUAGUGAGCGUUGGAGAUUACGGUUAUUUUCAUAAGUUGAAUUCAUUAAAACAAUGGAGCAAUUAUCGAUUAGAGGCAGAAUGGUUGCUGAGACUAAGACUUUUUUGAUUCUAGUAGUAUAAAUAUUUUUACGAAAUUUUAAGCUAUACAAAGUUGAAUUAAUUUUACUAAUUGUUUUUGAAACAUGAGAAUUCCAAGAGAGGUUAUGCGAUAAAUGGAGACCCAGACACUUUGCUGACUAUGAAAGAAUUCGUUGUUGGUGAACAUAUCACAGAUUGUACGAUGUGUGAACAAAGUAUGACCAAUCAUAUUUGUCAGCCAUGCAACCAUUGGUUUGGAUGCUCUCGGUGUGUGCAAAACAUGCGAGUCUUUCUUGCUCGCGUGCAACCUAAUUUGCGUUGCCCAACUUGCGACAAUGUUAUAGCAUCAUUUGAAAAGAUUUUUUGAAUAUUUUCUGACAUUUAUGAUUUAUUUAAAUACAAAAAAAAAUUUUUAAUAGAAAUUUAUGGAUUAGUUAUUAUUUCUCAAGUUUGUUUAAAGAUUUAUGUGAUUAUAAUAAAGAAAAACAAAUUCCCUUAAAAAAUUUUAUAAUGUUAUUUGAAAUAUUAAUAUUUAAAUGUGAGGUUUUGCUUAGCGUCGUUUUCCAGAUAUUUUUAAAUGGAUAUUAACCCAUGUGACCUAUGAAUUCAAUGUAGUAUAUAAUUAUUUGUUUGAACCACCAGAUGCCUUGGUGAUUGGCUGUUGAUGAAGCAUCCUGAAGGACCUGAUUCUAAUAUCACUAGUUAUUCUUUUUUUUCUAUUUUGAUUAAUUUUUUUAACAUUUAAUUUAUAGUAGUUUUUUUUAUUCUUACAUAGCAUGGACCUAAUAAUGAUCCUAAGAAAUUUUUAAACAAAAUAAAUUUUUUUAUUUAGAAAAAAAUA